GAUUUGCUUGGGCUUAUGUUGACGAAAGAAGAGAAAAAAGAAAUGGAAUACAUAUUGAAGAGAGAGUUAGAGGAACUUUUAUUUGAUUUUGAAGAUGAGCGUAUUCAUGAGGUUGUAAAAAAAGCGAUGGAAGAAAGAUAUAAAAUCAUUUUUUGUUUAUUUCGAAGAGUUGCUAACGCAGAAGAAUGUAUUCGUUAUGUAAGAAAAAGAAUUUUUUAUUAAAAAGUGUUGACGUUAAUGAUUAGUAUAUGGUAAAUUAAUAAACGUCGCUGAUGCGGAAACGCAGAAAACGACAAAAAAGAAAUUGAAAAACUUAGUUGACAUCGAAAAACGAAGAUGUUAACAUAAGGAAGUCGCAAAUGAGCGACCAAGUAGUUCUUUGAAAACUGAACGAAACAAACAACGUGAAACGUCAAUUUUUAUUUUUAGAUGCUAGACAAACUAACUUUAUUGGAGAGUUUGAUCCUGGCUCAGGAUGAACGCUGGCGGCGUGCCUAAUACAUGCAAGUCGAGCGAAUGGAUUGAGAGCUUGCUCUCAAGAAGUUAGCGGCGGACGGGUGAGUAACACGUGGGUAACCUGCCCAUAAGACUGGGAUAACUCCGGGAAACCGGGGCUAAUACCGGAUAA
rnacentral:rRNA from 2 species